GACAGACAGAAAUUGAGAACUUCAAACAUUUACACACGUGGAAGCUACUGCUGCAGGAAACAGAAUCACUGCUGAAGCUGUACAUCUUUGUGGUGGUGCCCUUGCAGGAAUGCAAGACAAGAAGACGCCACGGAAUGGAAAAGGCAACAGAAGGAUGCAGAGGAUACUGGAAAAGUAGAGCUGAGCGACCAUCAUUGCUUGUGGAACGCACAGUCACUAUUGUGGAUUUCAGCAGUUUCCGGAAUGAAUGCGCUAGUCCAAAGACAACGUAUUUGGAUGACUUUAAUGCUCAGAUGAACAGAAAAUCCGAAUCCUGUCCAGGGAGCAGCAAGGCAGAGCAGUUGACUGACUGCUGCAUCCCAUGUCUGCUGACUCAAUAGCUUUGGAACAGUGAUGAAGCCCCAGUGAGACCCCCCAGCUCUACACCCAGACGUUGCUUUGUUUUCCAUCCAGGGAAGACCGUUUUCCUUGCGGCCCUGUCAAGGAAAGAGACUCCGAUGGACUUACACCGGGCAGCCUUCAAGAUGGAAAACUCCUCCUACCUUCCCAAUCCUCUGGCAUCUCCAGCCCUGAUGGUUCUCGCUUCUACCGCUGAAGCAAGCCGCGAUGCUUCCAUCCCUUGCCAGCAGCCAAGGCCCUUUGGUGUUCCAGUAUCGGUGGACAAGGAUGUGCACAUCCCGUUCACUAAUGGCUCCUAUACUUUUGCCUCCAUGUAUCACCGACAAGGUGGUGUGCCAGGAGCAUUCACCAACCGUGAUUUUCCACCUUCCUUGCUGCAUCUGCACCCCCAGUUUGCUCCCCCCAAUCUGGACUGCACCCCAAUCAGCAUGCUGAACCACAGUGGCGUUGGGGCCUUCCGUCCCUUUGCCUCCACUGAGGACAGGGAGAGUUACCAGUCAGCUUUUACACCUGCCAAGCGUCUGAAGAACUGCCAUGACACUGACUCUCCCCACCUUCGCUUCUCAGACGCUGAUGGCAAGGAGUAUGAGUUUGGAGCCCAGCUCCCAUCUGGCUCCCCCGGCUCCCUCAAAGUCGAUGACACGGGGAAAAAGAUCUUCGCUGUCUCUGGCCUCAUUUCGGACCGGGAGACCUCAUCCAGUCCCGAGGACCGAAAUGAUAGAUAUAGAAGCGACAGCCAAGGAGGGCCGCCAGCGUCUGCAGGGGCCAGCCAGCGCAUGGCGUUAACUUUCCCUCUCUGCAAAAAGAAGGCAACACUUUUUGACAGCCAGGCUCCCAUCUGCCCCAUUUGUCAGGUCUUGCUUCGCCCGGGUGAGCUGCAGGAACACAUGGAGCAGGAAAUGGAGAAGUUAACACAGCUCAACAUCAGGCUAAGAAGAGGGACCUCCAGCUGUGGGAGCCCUGCAAGCGCAAGACAUCAGCUUGGUAAGAACUCUAUAUUGAAGGAUGUCAUGGCUCCAGGUACUCCCAAGUCAAUUUUGUUGUCAGCCUCAAUCAAGCGAGAAGGAGACUCUCCAACGGCAUCACCUCACUCCUCAGAUGAUAUCCAUCACUCAGACAGAUACCAGACCUUCUUGCGAGUGAGGGCAAACAGACAGACCCGGCUGAAUGCUCGGAUUGGAAAAAUGAAACGGAGGAAGCAAGACGAAGGACAGGUAUGUCCCCUCUGCAGCCAACCUCUCUCAGGAUCCGAGGAGGAGAGGAGUAGGCAUGUCGAACAAUGCCUUGCAAAGAGGGAAGGCUCAUGCAUGAUGGAGGAUGAUGCAGUGGACAUUGAAAAUGAAAAUGGUAAUCGCUUUGAAGAAUAUGAAUGGUGCGGGCAGAAGAGGAUACGUGCCACUACUCUCCUGGAAGGGGGAUUCAGAGGGUCCGGGUUUGUCAUGUGCAGCGGCAAGGAGAAUCCAGACAGUGAUGCUGACCUUGAUGUGGAUGGAGAUGACACACUGGAAUAUGGAAAGCCACAAUACACAGAGGCAGAUAUCAUUCCAUGCACUGGGGAAGAACCAGGUGAAGCCAAGGAGAGAGAGGCGCUUCGAGGUGCAGUCUUAAAUGGUGGCACGCCUAGUACCCGAAUAACACCAGAAUUUUCUAAGUGGGCAAGUGACGAAAUGCCAUCAACGAGUAACGGAGAGAGCAGUAAACAGGAGCCUAUGCAAAAGACCUGCAAGAAUAGUGACAUAGAAAAGAUUACAGAAGACUCAGCAGUGACAACGUUUGAGGCGCUAAAGGCUCGUGUCCGCGAAUUAGAAAGGCAGCUUUCCCGUGGGGACCGCUAUAAAUGUCUCAUUUGCAUGGACUCAUACACGAUGCCCCUGACCUCCAUCCAGUGCUGGCACGUACACUGCGAGGAAUGCUGGCUGCGGACUCUGGCUUGGGUGAACGGCAUAGCUCAGGUGUUAGGAUCAUGAUUAUGCUCCUUGCCCCUCCAGAAUCUUGUGGUCUUGGUCCUCUCCCUCCUUUGGGUGCAAAGAAGCUGUGCCCUCAGUGCAAUACCAUCACCUCUCCAGGGGACCUCAGGCGUAUCUACUUAUGAAGGACAUGGCUGCUCAGACCAGGGAUUUGGGGGAAAGAAAUGGCAGCAACAAUGAAAGACAUUUGAAAACAAAACCUAGAGACUCCAAAUGUGAACUAGAGGCUGAGGGAGCAGCGCAAUGCCUCUGCUUCCAAACCUGUCACUGGUGCCGCCAACUCCACGGGAAGGCCAAACCAGAAUCCUUAUUGUGAAUCCCCGCCUUUUUUUACAGACUGAUGUUCCACACCUGUCCUAUUUCUUCAAGAGUGAGGUUCCAUCUUGGACGACUUGCAAGCCUUUCCAGGGGAGUGUCUUGACAAGCCAACCUGGCCCAACCCCACAUGCCAACUCAAGUAGGGACUGGAUCUUCCACAGCAGGAACUGUCAUAACCUGUCACUUGUGUUCUCUCCCCUCCCCUUUUUGUGGUGUUCUAGUGUUUUUUUUAGAAGUCAGAGAGAAAGAGAGAGCCUACACUUGCAAACCCACAAAGGCAGAAUGAAGCACAUGUAAUAUAGACUAUAUGUUUACAAUGUUGUGUAUAAAUGGGAUAGACUCCAACAUUACAUACUAAUAUGUUUCCCUUUUAUUUUUUCCUUUGUUCUUGGGUUGUACUUUUUUUAAAAAAGAGAAAAAAAUAAGCAGAGAACAUUAAACCCAUAUUUUUCUUGGUUCUACAAAGUUUUGGCAUUAAAGUCAUUAGUUUAAAAGAAAUAUAAAUAUAUAUAUAUAUUAUACAUAUAUAUAAUAUAAAUGGUUUAAUGUUCUGUGGUGUAUAUUUCCUCAUUCAGAUAUGACGUUAACAGCUUCUAGUAACAGCUGUAGUUUUUGCCCGUAACACAACUUCUGGGGGAAGUAGGGAAAAGUAGCUAAUGGGCUCUUUUUAUCAAAUCUUUUAUCACACUGAAACAGUUUUAAUUUUUCACUGAGGGGAAGGCAAGAAACUUGCAGAUCAGGCUUACAAGGCUUUACCCCAUUGCCAGCUGGGAAAAGGACAGAAGUUUACAUGAAGACAGAGGAGCAAAAAAUAGGUUGGCAGUGGUGGUUAUCAGAAUUCAGGGCUGUAAGUUUAUCUCUUAAAAGCUGAAGUCCUCUUUAGUUCAAGAAUAUUGUAUUCACCCGCCUCUGCACCUGCUCUGUGGCCCUUCCUGUGAUGCAAGAGUAAAUGCAAAAACAGCUGAAAAAACACCAUAUUCUAGCCAUGCAGUAUCUGAACGGGGGUGGGGUGGGGGCGCAGGAAGUACUCUAGCACUUCCUCCAUUCUACUUCCUCAUGAAAGGUUAUGUGUUUCACUAGUCAGGCAGGUUCUGUAUCACUCUGGCAUACUGUUUUGCCAUGCCCAGCCACUGCCAGUCUGCCUUGCUGUGAAAUGCUUUUCCAUGCAGGUGCAGCAUGAUGUCCUAGUUUUCCAGAGGUUCAGGUCCAGUAAAACAUCAAGUUCCAGUUUUGAAGAGAAAAGAAAGUGGGGUAUGUGUUGGCUUUUUGUGACACUGGUUUCGUUUCCUCCUGUUAUCUCUCCUACUUGUACUGUGGCAAUAGUGGAACUCAACCCAGGCAGGUCCACACAAGGUUGGAUUCAGUUAUUCCCUCUUCGCCUGUUUCUGCAGCGUUCCUGACAUCAACCUUUUACUCAGACCCCUGUUCUGCUUUUGAAAAUAUCUCCAGCUGUGGCUCACGUAUAUUCUGCUUACUACCUGCCUUAAUCAGAAACAAGCAACUGACAUUUUUAAAUACAUAGCCAAACAAGCCGCCUGCAUUCCACCCGAGGGAAAUUUUACAGGGUUGCCGGAAGCUUGAAAGGGGAAGCAGGCACUUUGCUUGGCAAUAAUUUGGGUAGGCAAAUGUCCCUGUCAUGAAUCACCUUUUAAACUGAGGCAGACUGCUGCUCUGGGAUAUCCUGCAAGGUAUUUUGUUCUUUUUCUCUAAUCUGUGACUUAAGCACUAGAAAGUCAUGGUUGCACUAAAACAUCUGGCUAUCGUCAGUCAUGCUGUUGUCAAAAGGAUUGGUUUUAUAUGAUUGAGACUUGUACCACAAGAGAGUUGUAUUUUGCAGUACAGGAUUCCAUAUUCCUGUUGCAAUUUGGCUGAUGAUGUGCUACUGCUGUCUACUGAAUGCAAGCUGGAAAUGGCUAUUAUCAGCAGAGUCUUGCUGUUUGACUUCACCCUGUUCAACACACACUAUUGUCUAGUGGGAAAUAGUUUCAUACCCUUUGAGCAGGCACAGCCAAUAUGGUGCCCUCCAGAUAUUGGGACUACAACUCCAAAUAUCCCUAACCAUUGGCCAUGUUGGCUGGGGCUGAUGUGAGUUGGCAGUCUCCUAGCAGCUGGCAGGCACCAUAGUGGCUACGACCGCAAAAUUCUAAGCUUCCAUUGUGUCCAAAGAACUUCUGAACUGCUAUGUCUCACUCAAACUACAAGUGUUUCUGACUGCUGCUACAUAGGAACGAGUCUGAGGAACGACCAUCUGCAGCCUGUAUUAGCAGGAGAAACACAAAUAGGUAGCAAUAGUUUGCAAAAGGCACAAAGUUUCAGCAACUGCCUUUGCUCACGAUGGGGCUUCCUCCACUGGUAUAGCACUUAAGCCUUCCUAAAGGCAAUCAAAUGAAAUUUGUCAUGGUGGGGAUGUCUGAAUUGCACCCAUACCUGCUCACCUUGUACAAGCAAUCUCUGCUCAGGCAUUUAGGACAGAGCUAUAUUUCUCCCAGAUCUGUUUCAGAAUAGGCAGUGCUGAGGCAGCUCAUUUUUGAUUUCCCAGUCUGGGAACAAUGAGCUUUCUCUGGUCCUGUGGACCACCACUAAGCCAAAUGAAUAUAUAUAAACCACAUAUAACUAGUAGGCUUUAUUUUUAAAGUUGAUUUGUCCCUGCUUUUUUUCUUGAGAGGGUAGGGAGGGGAGAGAAGACCUGAUGGGAAGAUACAAGGACUUGUUACCUCCUCUGGAGCGAGGCACAUUUUGCAAAACUCUGUGACUUCGUCCUCAAAAAGCUUAAAAAGAAAUGAACUAUCUUUGCCCAAAGAUUCCCAGCUGCACAAGGUGAUAUUCAAGUUGUGUCUAUGAUUGUGUGUCGAUGUAUAUUCUAUAAAAAGGUACUUGUCAUUCCCGUUUGUAAACUACAUUGACAUUAAUUAAAUGAGUAUAAAAUCUUCCAA